UUUAGCCCCUGUUUGAUUAACAUUAAAUUACAUUACAUUACAUUUCAUUUUUCUCUCUCCUAUUUUCAACCAUACAAUCUUCUAUAAAAUAAUAUUACACGUAAAUCGAAAACUUUACUUUCUUUUUCAACCACUCAUUUUUCUAAAAAAUACUAUUCCCCCCAUUACCAUUUUCAGGUAAUGGGGGCCAAACAGGGGCUUAU
rnacentral:lncRNA from 1 species